UUUCCCCAAACUGCCCUGGAGAGUCCUCUCACACACAUUCAGCAGCAGAUUCCACCUCAGACCCUUUGAAAAAACCAACAAACAAAAACAAAAUCCUCUGACUCCGAGUGGCCACAUCUGAGGAGACAAAAGUUUCAGACGUCUGUCACACGCCAGCACAUGCCCUCCAACCCUGAGACAAUGGAGCCGCGAGAGGAGGUGUCCACAGGAAGAGGGUCAGGUCAGAAUCCUCCUUUCUCUCACAGUUCCUUUAUUCUCCACUCUCCAUACAAAUGUGUGUGUGUGUGUGUGUGUGUGUGUGUGUGUCAAAGAAAACUGCCUUUUUGUGUUAGUCGACCCACACCCCCCUCCAGUUGAAAUACUACUGAGAACCUGAUAAUGUGUAUAUGUUUAUCUGUACAAACCAAUGUAUGCGUUGCUGCCACCUAGUGGCUGGAGGCUUGUUGUCAUUCAAUACAACCAGAAAUAUAUGGUGAUGUUGUCAUAGUUGUGUCAUGGUGACUCCUGCUGACCCUGGAGUGAAGUGCUGUGUUGGACCAGGUGUAAAACUAGUGCAGAACUCAGUAAACAGAGCAACACGGUGCAGGGUUUAACAAUAGUAUAUUUUUUAGCAAAAACUAAGGACAAUCAAAUCUCAAACAUUUUUGGUUUUUCACAGACAAAAAGACAAAGUCAAGGUUUUUUUUUUUUGGUAUGAUAUCUUCAUUUCAUUGACACAACAGUCUUUAGUGAGGUAGAAUAAAAUGAAAAGAAAUGACUCCUCUAAGGAAAAGGUAGGGUUCUUUUUUUUCCCCCAACUGUGAUUGUGGAAAAUAAUGCACACAGUCGACUCAGACCAGGAACUACAGACACAGACUCUCACUGAAACCUGGGCUGCCAGCGGGAACAGAUGGAAAUACAGAUGUAUGUCAUAAGAAAAAAAAAAA